rnacentral:rRNA from 1 species
GAUGAACGCUGGCGGCGUGCUUAACACAUGCAAGUCGAACGGUGAAGGAGGAGCUUGCUCUUCUGGAUCAGUGGCGAACGGGUGAGUAACACGUGAGCAAUCUGCCCUUGACUCUGGGAUAACAGUUGGAAACAGCUGCUAAUACCGGAUACGAGACGUGACCGCAUGGUCAACGUCUGGAAAGAACUUCGGUCAAGGAUGAGCUCACGGCCUAUCAGCUAGUUGGUGAGGUAAUGGCUCACCAAGGCGACGACGGGUAGCCGGCCUGAGAGGGUGACCGGCCACACUGGGACUGAGACACGGCCCAGACUCCUACGGGAGGCAGCAGUGGGGAAUAUUGCACAAUGGGCGAAAGCCUGAUGCAGCAACGCCGCGUGAGGGACGACGGCCUCGGUU